UACGUAGGGUCCAAGCGUUAAUCGGAAUUACUGGGCGUAAAGCGUGCGCAGGCGGUUGUGCAAGACCGAUGUGAAAUCCCCGAGCUUAACUUGGGAAUUGCAUUGGUGACUGCACGGCUAGAGUGUGUCAGAGGGGGGUAGAAUUCCACGUGUAGCAGUGAAAUGCGUAGAGAUGUGGAGGAAUACCGAUGGCGAAGGCAGCCCCCUGGGAUAACACUGACGCUCAUGCACGAAAGCGUGGGGAGCAAACAGGAUUAGAUACCCUGGUAGUCCACGCCCUAAACGAUGUCAACUAGUUGUUGGGGAUUCAUUUCCUUAGUAACGUAGCUAACGCGUGAAGUUGACCGCCUGGGGAGUACGGUCGCAAGAUUAAAACUCAAAGGAAUUGGCGGGGGAGCACGGGGCGGGGGCGGCGGGCCGGGCGCGGGGCGCGGCGGGC
rnacentral:rRNA from 1 species